ensembl:lncRNA
CACUCUACCUACAUGAUGGGCCACUCCCAAUCAACCAAGCUAGGCCAGGCUUGCUGUAGAGAAGAAAUUAAGGAAUGACUUACUUAAUCUGGGAAAAAGCAAGGACCAAGAUAGAACUGCAAGACGGGAUGCUGAGAAGCCCAGCAGUAUGGUUAGUGAAUGAAGCAGAAAGGCAGGACUCAGAAGACUUCUCCUGCUGAAAAUGACCAUCCUAACGGAAUAAAGAUGACAGACAAGAAAUAUUUCUACAGGAACAAAACAGACAUUCCCUUGCAGUUAUAUGAGCCUGUGGAUACCAUUAGCAGCUCUGUGGAGAGGGGAGUCUGGAGUGAGUGCUAUUGAUGUUUGCAGUUUGUGGUCAAUGCUUAUGCUCUAUGUUGACUAUUUAGUAUUUGAUGAGCAGGUCAAUCUCCUGGCUUCACAUUAGUUAUUGUCAUUCAGUUCUUUUGUUAUCCUUGUAACCUUCUGAAUGAAAUGAACUCCUUCAAUGAUUAUCAAAAAUACCACACCAGAGCUGCACAGUUCCCAAUGACAAAUGCACUCAAGAUCUGCUGGCAUGGAAGUAGAGUGAACUUAGAGGACAGCCCUUGACUAAGGCUUGUUACUGGCUGGAUUUGCCAUACAUACCACAAGGGGACAGGAUGACUGCAAGAGUGAGGGAUACAGUUUGUGGUUCAGAG